AAGGCCCUGUGCUCCCAGGGCUGUGCUGCCUGGCUGCUACUCUCAGACCCCGGCCCAACAGUAUCCAGUCACCCAGCAAGAACCAGGGCCAGACUGCAGGCCAGCCACCGUCGCUCUCUAAUUCCUCACUCCUGGGUAACACUGUGGAGGCCUGUGUGCCAGUGAGUGGUUCCUAAGAGGACAAGGGCACCCCGAGGUCCCUGUGGAGGUCCCCAGGAGCGGCUGCAACAACCCUUGCCUCCUGUAUGCCCCUAUGUUAUGUGACUUUGCAGCUCUUCCCACCAAGAGCUGGGGUCUGUCCUCCCUCCCCGUGAACUAGGCAGACCUGGGACUUGCCUUGAUCCCUGGCAUAGGCCUCAAGAGACCUGGCGGUUUCCAUUUUGGCAUCUCGGGAGUGCUAGGCCACCAUAAAAAAGUCCAGCUAGGCUGCUGGAGAGACUACGUGGAAAUAACGAAGCAGGCUGGGUUCCCACCUUCCAGCCUCCCCAGCUGAGAAAGACAUGGCCGGACGCCACCUCGGAUCUUUCGGCCCCAGGCAAGUCUCCCUAAUCAAGACCACACAGAACAGACAUGAUCUGUCCUUACCAAGCCCUGCCCGGGUUGCAAAUUGGAGCAAAUAAAUGGCUGUCGUUUUGAACCACUAA